AGUGAACGCUGGCGGUAGGCCUAACACAUGCAAGUCGAACGGCAGCACAGUAAGAGCUUGCUCUUACGGGUGGCGAGUGGCGGACGGGUGAGGAAUACAUCUGAAUCUACUUUUUCGUGGGGGAUAACGUAGGGAAACUUACGCUAAUACCGCAUACGACCUACGGGUGAAAGCAGGGGAUCUUCGGACCUUGCGCGAAUGAAUGAGCCGAUGUCGGAUUAGCUAGUUGGCGGGGUAAAGGCCCACCAAGGCGACGAUCCGUAGCUGGUCUGAGAGGAUGAUCAGCCACACUGGAACUGAGACACGGUCCAGACUCCUACGGGAGGCAGCAGUGGGGAAUAUUGGACAAUGGGCGCAAGCCUGAUCCAGCCAUACCGCGUGGGUGAAGAAGGCCUUCGGGUUGUAAAGCCCUUUUGUUGGGAAAGAAAAGCAGCAGGUUAAUACCCCGCUGUUCUGACGGUACCCAAAGAAUAAGCACCGGCUAACUUCGUG
rnacentral:rRNA from 1 species